ensembl:lncRNA
AUGCACUUUUGCCCAUGUGCGCAUCUCUCUAAAAAUGUGUGGUUUUCUGUAUCUCUCUCAUUGACAGUAGGUAGUGGUGUUCUAGUUGACAUUUUAAUGUGUCUUUAUCUCCAAAGUGCUUCCUGCGGUCCAAGUCUUUCUAAUCACAGAAAGCUUCAGUUCGCAGGGUGGACAGCUGCCGGGCACCAGCCGAUGAAGAUCAUGGAUUCGACCGACAUCAACAGUAAAUUCCAGCACAAAUAAAAGAUCCAGAUCAAUGCAACAAUUUAUCCAGACGCAUAACGGCACAACAGGUCACCGGUGACACAAAGGUGCAACUCUCCACAAACAUCUGGCAACCAACAGGUCAUAACCAAUAUGCUGCGCUGGAUUACUUUAAAAAACUUUGCCAGAAGUGCCUAUUGUAAACUCGAGCUCAAACAGUUCCCAGGCCCCUCAGAAACUGCACACAGCGUUCAGACAAGGAAAAGGGGAGGGGGGCGUCCGCAUAAAACCGGUUCUGGGUCUUGAUGUAAGCUUUCCGAAUGCGCAGUUUCGUCCCUUGGCUCCAGAUAAUCUGCUCUAAAUCACUCCGGGUUGAUUAAAUUCCUCCCAUCCAGAAGCGUGGGGUUCGCCAAUCCAGACAGAGUUCGGUCCAAGAUGGCUGCGUGCUGGCUGAUGGUGCCAAGCCAAACCCAGCGCAGCACAGCCGGAGGAAGUGAGGACAGAGGCGGCUGCACGAGCUCAUUGGCCGGCGCGGCACUGUUUGUUGUUGCUGGGGUGAUUACUAAGGAGAAAAAUGUACCUGUAGCACAAAAACCCGGCAAAAUAACUUAGUGCUCCAUGGUCUGAUCGCCCAUCCCAGUGACGGUCGUGACCCUGAGCAUGUAGGAAUGUGGAAAUCCAGUCACAAGUUUAGAAAAAGUCAGUGAAUAUUUUACCAUGCUUUUGACCAUGUACCACAGUAGCCUACAACAUUAGAGAACAAUGUAAAUACUGUGGAAAAUCUAUCUAUCAUCUGACUAUUUCUAUCUAUCUAUCUAUCUAUCUAUCUAUCUAUCUAUCUGGUCAUGUGCUUAUUAUAAGUAGAUUAAAUUGUUUAGGUUCAUCUAUCUAUCUAUCUAUCUAUCUAUCUAUCUAUCUAUCUAUCUAUCUAUCUAUCUAUCUCGUCAUGUGCUUAUUAUAAGUAGAUUAAAUUGUUUAGGUUCAUCUUUUUUGACUUGGGUUUCUUUUAUACAAGGUUGACAAAAGCUUAAAUAGAGCUUAAUGCUUUUUAAAGGGGAAAAACACUGUCAUGCUGCAUGGCAUAUGGUGUCUGAAUAAACACAGACACAUAUCAUACCCACAAAGGCAAUUUUGCUGGGUUUUUUUUUUUUGUUUCUGACAUGAAAGAGGAUGAGCUGCAUCUUUAGUUGUGCACCUCCUCUGCUGCCACAAUCUAAUGAAGAAAGACAUUAAACCAAGUAUAUACAGCAUGAGCUCAUAUUUGUACAGUGAAACUGGAUUUCCCUGAAAAAAAAAAGUUAAGGGAACUUUCUCACAUGAUCACAAAAAAAAAAAAAAGUUAAGUCUUCAUGUAAACAUCCUCUUCUCAAGUUUAAUGGCUGGAGGACCCCUUCAAAAAAGACAUAUAUAAUAAAUCACGUUUAUAACUUUCGUCAAAAAUUCCUUGUUUUAAGACAAUUUAAGGGUGAUAAACGGUGUCCAAACUUAUAACGUGAACAUGUUUCAAUUUACAGGUAUUUAAAAAUAUUCAAAUAUCCCAAACAUCAAAGAAAGCAAUCCUACAUUAAAUCUAAUUUCAAAAAUAUUUAUAUGAAGUAUACAAUUAUAGUAUAAAAUGAAUGUUAGAAUGUAUCUUAGAUAUUUUCCAGUCUCUUUACAAUGCAAUUAACUGACGGACAGAUGCUAGUGUAGUUCUGGAUUGUUGUCUUCAAUAUUCCUGAUCACUCACUGCCACCUAGUGGUCAUAACUGAGGAUUUCUUAUUGAGGUUGUGAUUUAUGGCAAAAGUGUUGAAUGAGGUACACAAGCAGAGUCGGGAGCAGCAAUAAAGUAUUAAAGAGAAGAGUCUUUUAAAAUAUUUUAUAUUAAAACCAAAUUUUAUAGUCCUCAAAAGCCCUCAAGAAUAAAUGUCCUCAGAUAUUACUUUCUAAAACAAAUCAUACAUAUUCAUAUAAUACAUUUAAAAAAUAAGGUUUGAAAAUUAUAGCCUUCUUAAUUUCCAGACGUUCCAGGAAAGUUUUGAGGGCUUAUGAUUUUGUUGUUUAGCAAAUAAGAAAGGAAAUAAAUACACACAAAGGUAAGUUUGUCGUGUGUAACAAACACAGACCAUGGAUGAUAAACACAUUUGUGUUUAAACAUAAGCUUAUUCCCCGGACUUCGCUCAGAAAUGGCUCAUAACAACCAGUGAAUCACUUGUGUGAUAUUAUGCUGACAUAGGCCUUUGUGGUGAAACUGCAUUUUAAAACACAGUCUUGGAAAACGCUGUGUUGCAAACACCUCUUGAGAUUCAGGAUUUUUUUUAGUGAACAUUAUUUUAUUUGUCUUAUUUUAGUGAACAUUAUUUUUAUAUUAUUUUUAUUAUAAAAAUUUCAUUUUUUAUAUUAUUUUUGUGUCAUUCCAAAUGUUUAGGGGUGUAGCCAAUAUUAUAUUUUUAAAUAAAAAAUAUAAAGGUACAAAGGG